GGCCUCCUAGGAUCGCAUCUGGAGAAUGGCUAGUAUUCUACCAGCUUCGGAGACGGGAGGAAGAGCAAUCUCUGCAGAGAUGCCCAUUCCACUCCCAGUUUGCUCAGUAGCUGGUGAUUGGAAGUUACUCUGCCACAGUG
ensembl:snoRNA